rnacentral:rRNA from 1 species
GACAGAGGGUGCAAACGUUGUUCGGAAUUACUGGGCGUAAAGCGUGCGCAGGCGGUUUUGUAAGCCAGAUGUGAAAUCCCCGGGCUUAACCUGGGAAUGGCAUUUGGGACUGCAAGGCUUGAGUGCGGCAGAGGAGACUGGAAUUCCUGGUGUAGCAGUGAAAUGCGUAGAUAUCAGGAGGAACACCGAUGGCGAAGGCAGGUCUCUGGGCUGACACUGACGCUCAUGCACGAAAGCGUGGGGAGCAAACAGG